CCUGAAAUAUGUAAGGACAGGUAGUACGCAGGUGU
rnacentral:sRNA from 1 species